GCCAUGCAUGUCUAAGUAUAAACGAUUUAAUCGUGAAACCGCGAAUGGCUCAUUAUAACAGCUAUAAUUUACUUGAUCUUGACACAAUCCUACUUGGAUAACUGUGGUAAUUCUAGAGCUAAUACAUGCAUUAAAGCUCUGACCUCACGGGAAGAGUGCAUUUAUUAGAACAAAACCAAGCGGCUUCGGCUGUUUCUGGUUGACUCAUAGUAACUGAGCUGAUCGCAUGGUCUUGCACCGGCGACGUGUCUUUCAAGUAUCUGCCGUAUCAACUUUCGAUGGUAGUGUAUCUGACUACCAUGGUGAUCACGCGUAACGGAGAAUAAGGGUUCGGCUCCGGAGAGUUCGCCUGAGAAAUCGCGAACACAUCUAAGGAAGGCAGCAGGCGCGAAAAUUACCCACUCUCAGCACGAGGAGGUAGUGACGAAAAAUAACGAGACCGUUCUCUUAUGAGGC
rnacentral:rRNA from 1 species